rnacentral:rRNA from 1 species
GGUAGCAAUACCCUGAGUAAAGCGGCGCACGGGUGAGUAACACGUGGGUAACCUACCCUAGAGUGGGGAAUAACACCGGGAAACCGGUGCUAAUACCGCAUACGAUCACGAUGUCUUAGGGUGUUGUGAUGAAAGGAGCAAUUCGCUCUUGGAGGGGCCCGCGGCUGAUUAGCUAGUUGGUAAGGUAACGGCUUACCAAGGCUACGAUCAGUAUCCGGUCUGAGAGGACGGUCGGACACACUGGAACUGAGACACGGUCCAGACUCCUACGGGAGGCAGCAGUGGGGAAUUUUUGGCAAUGGGGGAAACCCUGACCAAGCAACGCCGCGUGGGUGAUGAAGUAUCUCGGUACGUAAAACCCUUUCGACGGGGAGGAAAGGCCGCAAGGCUUUGACGGUACCCGUAGAAGAAGCCCCGGCUAACUCCGUGCCAGCAGCCGCGGUAAUACGGGGGGGGCAAGCGUUGUUCGGAAUUACUGGGCGUAAAGGGUGCGUAGGCGGUCUGCUAAGUUGGGUGUGAAAACUCUGGGCUUAACCCAGAGCCUGCAUUCAAAACUGACAGGCUAGAGUUCUGGAGGGGAUAGCGGAAUUCCUGGUGUAGCGGUGAAAUGCGUAGAUAUCAGGAGGAACACCGGUGGCGAAGGCGGCUAUCUGGACAGAGUCUGACGCUGAUGCACGAAAGCUAGGGGAGCAAACAGGA